rnacentral:lncRNA from 1 species
GUGAAAUAUUUUAAAUGAUGUUUGUAAUUUUUAACAAAAAUUAACUUAAAUGGAGAUUUAAGUUAGAUUUUACAUCAGGAUAUUUGACUCUUUAGUAUUUGUAAAUAGUGCUAUGAUCACUUUACUGAAACAACAUUGAGGACUACUAAGUCUGAAGCAAAAUUUGACCUUGAUUCAUACAUUGCCCUUUGCAUCUUUUUUUUAUUUAUUUUAGAAGGGGGAAGUGGUCAGUUUUGCUCCUGAAUGAUAAUCUAGUUAAGAUGCAAAGAGAAUUUAGUCUGACUUUUAUACUUUUUCUUCCUUUUUCAUCAGUUGCUGCACACAAGUAGAGAGAAAGAGGCAGCAGCUGAUAGGAUUUGAGCAGCGCUGGCCUAGUGGGCAGGACCCCAGCACUGCCCCUGCUUCGCUGCUUACUCCUUUGUGGCCAUGGCCAAGGCACUCACUGCUUGGGGGCUUAGAAACCCUCCUUAUUUGUAAAGUGAGGACAUUGGACUAGCCAUCGGUAAGGUUGCUUCCAGCUCUGUGUCAGUGUCAGUCAAACCCAGCAAUGAUGACCUCCAGAGAGCUGUCAGUGAUCCCGGGUGCUUGAUGACUUACUGCCCGUCAGCCACACAGCCACCCCAGGGCUACAGUGCCUGUGUUCACUCGUAUACCUCUCCCUUCCUCUGGAGGGCUUCUCACAGUGCCACAGUAGGCCCCUAUACACUACACUGUCCAGGCUCUGAUAGGCACGUGUAGAGAACUUAGAAUAAUAACUUUCCACUUAAACUUCCCGUCCAUGCUACAAGACUUGGCUUAAUUUUUAAUCCUUCCACUAGUAGUUUAAAUCUUUGAAGUUUUAAAUAUUGUUGUAUUUCAUCAUUUGCUUUCCUAUCCCACUCCAUUAUAAGGUUCUGGAGGCAGAACCUGUGUUUCCUCCUCUCCUCGUAUGUCCUUCUUGUUCCCCCUCUCCCAGCAGCAGCACAGCAUGUGGCUAAGAAAGCAGCCUCAUCAGUGGCUUAAACAUUGACAGCACUUUAUUUCCGCCAUGAGUGUUUGGAUGUGGGUGUUUCCUGUGUGUGUGUCUGGUUUGAGGUGGCAGCUUUUGUUUCUUUGGAGCAACGUAGGCUUUUUAACAGGGUGGUUCUCAACCUUUUGAUAUGACCCUUUUAAAAGGUCAUACUAGAUAGCCUGCAUAUGAGAUAUUUACAUAUGGUUUAUAACAGUAGCAAAAUUAGUUAUAAAAAAGCAAGGAAAUAAUUUUAUGGUUGGAGGUCAUGACAACCUGAGGAACUGUAAAGGGUUGAAGCACUGGAUAGUGGUAGUGCGUGCCUUUAAUCCCAACAUUCAAGAGGCAGAGGCAGGCUCUGAGUUGGAGGCCAGCCUGGUCUACAGAGCAAGUUCAGCCAAGACACACAGAAAAACCCUAUC